AAAAGCACAUCUUAAGGGGCCCUAUCAUGUUUCCUCAAUAGAAUGAAGAUGUGAUCUUCAUCUUUCUUCACUGCAUCAUUUCCAUUUUCAUUCAGGUUUCUCCCCUUUCUUUUCGAGUCAUACCUUGCUGAAUAAAAACAUGAAUUCUUCUGUUGUAGUACAGAAAACUGCGUCAACAGCCAUGGAAAAUUAUGCAGAAGGAUCGAAGCGAUCUGUCGGCGAUCAGCAGCAACCGGUUGUUCUGAGCAGAUAUGAGUCUCAAAAGCGGAGAGACUGGAACACUUUUGGACAGUACUUAAAGAAUCAGAGACCUCCAGUCUCACUUUCACAGUGCAAUAGCAACCACGUUCUUGAAUUUCUUCGAUACCUCGAUCAGUUUGGGAAGACUAAGGUUCACUUACAUGGUUGUGUAUUUUUCGGACAACCUGAUCCUCCUGCACCCUGUACUUGUCCUCUUAGACAAGCUUGGGGAAGCCUAGAUGCACUUAUAGGAAGGCUAAGAGCUGCAUAUGAAGAACACGGUGGAUCACCGGAGAAUAAUCCGUUUGGCAACGGAGCAAUUCGUGUUUUUUUACGCGAAGUGAAGGAGUGUCAAUCUAAGGCUAGAGGAAUUCCGUAUAAGAAGAAAAAGAAGAAGAAAAUCAAUCCAAUCAAGUUGGUGCAUGAUGAGCUGAAGAAUCCAAGGCAGACCACUAAUUUUGGCCCCCCUAAGGAGAUCGAAAUGGAUUCGGGAAGAUUUUUUGCUCCCCAAGAAUGACCAUUUUGCAAAAAUUGAGAAGUGCAAUUGCUAGAAUUUCACCGGAAGCAGAUGUGGCAGCAUUUGGAUCAAAAAUAACGAGGAGUUCUUAAAUUAGACAUAUAGUCUAAUAUGUUGAAGUCUAGUUUCUUAUAGUAAAAUUAGUUGGAAUCAAGGCAAGAAACUGUCUUAGAGCAGCUACAUUCAGGUUAUUUUAUCUAUUAGAUCCAUGUGAAGUACAGUGAACUUUUUUGUUUGUGUAAUAAGAACAGAUAUGUGUUAAGUAUGCCCGUUAUCAUACUUGGAUCAAGUUAUUUUUCUACAUUA